rnacentral:tRNA from 1 species
CCUUCUGUAGCUCAAUUGGUAGAGCAUGUGACUGUAGAAUUUAAAAGCAGAUAUCACAGGGUCGCUGGUUCGAUUCCGGCCGGAAGGA